rfam:Schistosoma mattheei strain Denwood, Zambia genome assembly, scaffold: SMTD_scaffold0017745
GUCCAGCUGACGAGUCUUAAAUAGGACCAAAUGCGCGUCCUGGAU